UGGGGAAUAUUGCAUAAUGGGCGCAAGCCUGAUGCAGCCAUGCCGCGUGUAUGAAGAAGGCCUUCGGGUUGUAAAGUACUUUCAGCGGGGAGGAAGGGAGUAAAGUUAAUACCUUUGCUCAUUGACGUUACCCGCAGAAGAAGCACCGGCUAACUCCGUGCCAGCAGCCGCGGUAAUACGGAGGGUGCAAGCGUUAAUCGGAAUUACUGGGCGUAAAGCGCACGCAGGCGGUUUGUUAAGUCAGAUGUGAAAUCCUCGGGCUCAACCUGGGAACUGCAUCUGAUACUGGCAAGCUUGAGUCUCGUAGAGGGGGGUAGAAUUCCAGGUGUAGCGGUGAAAUGCGUAGAGAUCUGGAGGAAUACCGGUGGCGAAGGCGGCCCCCUGGACGAAGACUGACGCUCAGGUGCGAAAGCGUGGGGAGCAAACAGG
rnacentral:rRNA from 1 species